AUUGAACGCUGGCGGCAGGCCUAACGCAUGCCAGUCGAGCGGAUGAAGGGAGCUUGCUCCUGGAUUCAGCGGCGGACGGGUGAGUAAUGCCUAGGAAUCUGCCUGGUAGUGGGGGAUAACGUCCGGAAACGGGCGCUAAUACCGCAUACGUCCUGAGGGAGAAAGUGGGGGGUCUUCGGACCUCACGCUAUCAGAUGAGCCUAGGUCGGAUUAGCUAGUUGGUGGGGUAAAGGCCUACCAAGGCGACGAUCCGUAACUGGUCUGAGAGGAUGAUCAGUCACACUGGAACUGAGACACGGUCCAGACUCCUACGGGAGGCAGCAGUGGGGAAUAUUGGACAAUGGGCGAAAGCCUGAUCCAGCCAUGCCGCGUGUGUGAAGAAGGUCUUCGGAUUGUAAAGCACUUUAAGUUGGGAGGAAGGGCAGUAAGUUAAUACCUUGCUGUUUUGACGUUACCAACAGAAUAAGCACCGGCUAACUUCGUG
rnacentral:rRNA from 1 species